UUAAAGUAUACAGUUUUGUGGUUUUAGUAUAUUUACAAUGUUGUGCAACCCUCACCACCAUCUAAUUCCAGAACAUUAUUCACCCCCAAAAGAAUCCCUGUGCCCAUUAAGCAGUAGUCACUCUCUGUUCGCCUUCUUCCUAGAUGCUGGUAACCACUACUCUGUUUUCUGUCUCUAUGGAUUUUCUUAUUCUAGACAUUUCAUAUAAAUAGAAUUGUACAAUAUCUGUCGUUUUGUGUUUGUGUUCCUUCACUUAGCAUAAUGUUUUCAGGGUUCUUCCAUGUUGUAGCAUAUAUCAGUACUUCAUUUCUUUUUGUGGCAGAAUAACAUUCCAUGUGUGGACAUGCCACGUUUUGUUAUCCUUUCAUCAGUUGAUGAACAUUUGGGUUGUUUCCACUUUCUGGCUAUUAUGCUGUUGCGAACAUUCAUGCACAAGGUUUUAUAUAAGCACAUGUUUUCACUUCUUUUGAGUAUUUGCGUAGGAGUGGAGUUACUGGGUCACGUGGUGACUCCAUGUUUAACAAAAAUGAUUUUUAAAAUAAAGAUGACUGAAAGAUACUGUCCCCAAACUUUUCUGACCCCAAAGAAAUUAGUCUUAUGAAUAUAUAAACAAGUUAAGCCCUAAAAUUACUUCUUUUCUCUGGCAUUUUGUCUACUAUAUGAGUUGCAGUUGUGUUGCUCCUGUUUCUUUUCACACGCAAGUCACCAUUUUGGACAUUUCAGAAUGGAACCCUUCUAUCUCCUAGAUUGUGAAUUUGAUGGUCCUUUGCUGUAUUAUUUUAUGAGUUACUUCUGGAGCAUCAACAGUUCUCUCUUAAAAAAAAAUCUUGUGGGCACUUAAUAAGAGUUGUAUAUGCCCAAAAUGUGUUUGCUCCUGUUGUUGAAGGAGGUUGUUUAUUAUCGUUGUUGUUAUAGUGUGUUAUUGAAUAUAGUUUAGGAACUCAAGUAGCUUAGUUACCUAAUAUAAAUACUAUUGGCCGGGGCGGCCCGGGGCUGCGCGGGGGCGGGCUGCCUCCUCCCUGGGCCUGCCUGGGCAACCGCCUCCGCGAUGCCGCUGCUUGUCGAGGGGAGGCGAGUGCGGCUGUCGCAGUACUCGCCCACGCUGCUGCGUCCGAGCCCACUCUCCUUUGGAGGAAAGAGCCAGACUUCUCAGAGGUCAGUCUGUUCAAGAAGUGGGACCCCAGGGCCUUCUGUGUGUUCAGCGAAGAGAGCUUGCAGUGACCUCCCCGAAGAAUGGCUCCAUCUCCAUUCUGGGUUCUGAUGAUGCCACUACUUGUCACAUUGUGGUCCUGAGGCAAACAGGUAAUGGGGCCACCUGCUUGACACAUUGUGACGGAACCGACACCAAAGCUGAAUUCCCCUUGAUCAUGAACUCCAUAAAAUCCUUUUCCGACCACGUUCAAUGUGGAAGGCUGAAAGUGCACCUCGUUGGAGGCUUCAGAGACGACAGGCAGUUGUCACAAAAACUCACUCAUCAACUUCUUAGUGAAUUUGACAGGCAAGAAGAUGACAUUCACUUAGUGACAUUAUGUGUGACAAUUAAAUGACCGGGAAGAAAACGAAAACCACUUUCCAAUAAUAUAUGGCAUUGCUGUCAACAUUAAGACUGCAGAGAUUUACAGAGCCUCCUUUCAAGGUCCAGGUCCGGAGGAGCAGCUGCGUGCUGCGCGAACUUUAGCAGGAGGACCAAUGAUUAGCAUUUACGAUGCAGAGACAGAACAACUUCGCAUAGGACCGUACUCCUGGACGCCAUUUCCACAUGUGGAUUUCUGGUUGCAGCAAGAUGACAAGCAAAUACUAGAGAAUCUUUCUACUUCGCCUCUGGCUGAGCCGCCCCACUUUGUUGAAUUUAUUAGAUCUACCUUGAUGUUUUUUUAAAAAAAUACCCAUCUCCAACUAACACACUGUUUCCUGGAAAUAAAGCCCUACUCUAAAAAAAAAAAAAAGAAUUACUAGGUCAAAAGAUAAGAACUUAUUCAAAUGGAUUCUGUGUGCUACCAGGUUGCUGUGAUCUGAAUGUAUCCCCAGAAUUCAUAUGUUAGAAACAUCAUCUCAAACGCACCAGCGUUGGCAGAUGUGGAGUCUUUUGGGAGGUGUUUAGGUCAUGAGGGUAGAGCCCUAUUGAAUGGAUUAUAAAUAAAAGGGCUUGCAGAAUUGGGUUUUCUUACUCUUGCCCUUCUGCCUUCCGACUUCUACCUUCUGUCCACAUAAUGACUCAGCAAGAAAGCCCUCACCAGGUGCUGAUGCCUUAAUCUUGGACUUCCCAGCCUCCAGAACUGGGGAGACAGUCUGGACACAGGGAAAACCUGAGACCAGGUUUUUAUCCAUUCUUUAAUUAAAUAAUUAAAAGAGAUAAACAAAUUUGCUUUUAUUUCUUUAACUUUUACUUUUUGGCUUUCCAUUCAUCCUGUGACCUUGUUGAUAUUUUAAAUGUUGGUUUUAUCAUCUUCAGUAUUGUCUGUUUCUCAUAUGUGUUAUUUCUGUGUUUGGCACUUUGCUUUGGGCACAGUGCCACUUGUGUGUGCCUAAGGCUGGAUUUGUGUCCUCAUGGUAUUAACUCUCAAGUCAGGGACAUAGACAUAUUUCUGUAAGCAUACACAUCCUUGUUUUGUGCAGACUUUUCUUUCAUGCUCAUGUUUCUUUUCCUUUUGUUUGUAGCCAGACAUUUUGGACCCAAUGUCUAUUUCUCACUAGUGAUGUGGAUUCUGCAGUUUGUUUUCUACCCCAGCUUUCUACCAAAGUUGUUCUUUUCAUGGUUGUCACUGAUUUCCUACCUGUUUUCAUUGGUUGUUUUCUUAGUUUUCAUUUUCCUUGAGCUUUCUACAGUGAUUUAAGACCAUUGAUUUCCAUUUUCUUUGUAAUAACCUCUCAUUAGUUCCAUGGCCCAGUUCUGUUUCUUCUAUUCAGUGUGUUUGUUUUUUUUAUUGAUUUCUCUCUUUUCUCCACUUAGUUGUAGACACUUCUUUUUUCUUUUUUUG